GUACGGCCGCAAGGUUAAAACUCAAAUGAAUUGACGGGGGCCCGCACAAGCGGUGGAGCAUGUGGUUUAAUUCGAUGCAACGCGAAGAACCUUACCUGGUCUUGACAUCCACGGAAGUUUUCAGAGAUGAGAAUGUGCCUUCGGGAACCGUGAGACAGGUGCUGCAUGGCUGUCGUCAGCUCGUGUUGUGAAAUGUUGGGUUAAGUCCCGCAACGAGCGCAACCCUUAUCCUUUGUUGCCAGCGGUCCGGCCGGGAACUCAAAGGAGACUGCCAGUGAUAAACUGGAGGAAGGUGGGGAUGACGUCAAGUCAUCAUGGCCCUUACGACCAGGGCUACACACGUGCUACAAUGGCGCAUACAAAGAGAAGCGACCUCGCGAGAGCAAGCGGACCUCAUAAAGUGCGUCGUAGUCCGGAUUGGAGUCUGCAACUCGACUCCAUGAAGUCGGAAUCGCUAGUAAUCGUGGAUCAGAAUGCCACGGUGAAUACGUUCCCGGGCCUUGUACACACCGCCCGUCACACCAUGGGAGUGGGUUGCAAAAGAAGUAGGUAGCUUAACCUUCGGGAGGGCGCUUA
rnacentral:rRNA from 1 species